AAUCGAAGAGGCUCUUUUCUUGUGUGUCAAGGCAUUGGAAUUAGAGGUUCAGAUAGGUAAUGACGAUCUUAACCUUAGCUAUGCCCUUGCUCUUGCUCUAUUUAUAGAUACAGAUUCAUGAGUUGGGAAAUUUGAACACCAACACUAAACUUUUCCAUUAAUAAAUCUGAUAGAGAAGUUUACAAUACAAUCAAAGAUGAGUUAUAAACACAAGGAUUAAUGAUCUGACGAACAGGGGCGGAUACGGGUCACGUGCCCCCAACUAAUUUUUUUUAUUUUGUUUGUAUUCAGUUGAAAUUUUGAGUUUUUGAAGCAAUUAGCUCAAAUCAUAUGAUAAUGCGCCCGUCUAAUUUAAAAGUUUGUAGCUGUGCCCCGAUUAAAAGUUCUCCUAGAUCCGCCACUGCUGACGAAUGAAGAAUCUCUCAAAUACAGAGCCAGUGCUAGAUCCGACCGCUGAUGUUUGGUUUUUGUGACUCUUAAACCCUCAAGCUGUGCAUCUACUUCCGUCAUCUUUGGCCUUUCCUCUCUUGUCGCUCUUGUACACUUAACAGCAACUCUUGCCGCUUCCUGGAUCUCUCUAUAAUAAUUCUCAUUCAUCAUUUUCCCAUCAAUAACCUCGUGCAACCUAUUCUCUUUGGUGGCACAAGAAAAGUAGCUCACCAGAUGUUUCGAGUAUUGUUGUGAGCUGCUCUUUAUCCUUUGGUAUCAGCUUUGAAGCACCAAAGUCAGCUACUUUUGGAGUUAAGUGUUCAUCCAGGAGAAUAUUAGCAGUCUUGACAUCACGGUGGAUGAUUGGAAUAGAAGCAGAGGAGUGAAGGUAGGCAAGAGUUCCAGCAAUUUCCACAACUAUUCUUGCAUCACAAACUCUGCUACAAAUUUACAUGUCAAGGUUCUUAUUUGGUAGUUGUAUGAAAAAAGAUUAUAACAAAAUAAAACCAUUUUUGGUUAUAUUAUUAUUUUAAACAACAUAUAAAAGUAUAAAAGAAUCGUUUUGGUUUGAAUGUCACAUGUUUAGUCACUGAACGCAACGCUGGUAAUAUCAAACCUAUUUUUAAUUUAUAAUGUAAAUUCACAUUGUUUGUGAUUUUGGUGAUAUCAAUUAUGUUUUUUUAAUUUAUGAAAUAUAUUCAAAUUUUCUGUGGUC